CAAGCUUUGUGUCUACCAGUUUGAUGUCAAGUCUGCCUUUCUUAAUGGAGAACUAGGUGAGGAAGUUUAUGUAGUCCAGCCUGACGGGUUUGUUAAUAAAGAAAGUCCAGGUAAGGUCUUUAAACUUAAGAAAGCCUUAUAUGGACUUAAGCAAGCCCCUAGGGCGUGGUACAUGAAAAUAGAUACAUACUUUCUACAAUGUGGGUUUAAAAGAAGUGAAAAUG
rnacentral:misc_RNA from 1 species